GGUGGGGAAGGAAGAUUAAACAAGUUAAAAGGAACAUAAAGUCUAAAUUCCUAAUCUGCGAUUAGAGAUGGUAGAAGGGCUCCGGCCGGCCGGGCUCGUCGGGCUUGGUAAGAGCUAAGGUCUCGAAAAUCAAGGCCGACCAUGGACCUGGGCUUACAACAAUAAUAAUCAGGCCCAGCAACCCACAAAAUUUUAUAAAUUUUAAUGUACUCCCAACUCUUUUGUGCAGCCAGCACUUAUACACCCCAGCGUAUUUCUUCAGGCAAACCUUAUCAUUUUUAAAAUUUUCUGAAAAACAAAAACCGGGCCAGCCUAAACUCCGGUUCAACCGUCCCAUUUUGCCAACCAAAUUUGUGCUUAAAGAAACAACCGACAUGGGGCAUAUGACACGCUUUGCAAAUCUCACCCGGCAACAUUAAGAUGAGCAAAGUAUUUGUAUGAGUUGAUCGGUUGUAUUUACGAUAGGGACACAAAAAAUUUCUAAAUAAUCAACAUGAAUCUUAAUGAAAUUAGAGCAUUCCACUCACUGAGGUGUGCAGUUGGUUUGGUAUACAAAAUCAAAAAUGAAAUAUUCAAGGAAUUUUUCAAAUAAAAAAUAAAAUAUUUAAGGAAACUAAAUUAAUCAUCCAUAAGUCUAUGAGCAUAAUAUGAGUUUCUAGAAGACUAGAGACUAAUGAGAAGGGCUUGAUUAACUAAAAUAUGAUCUGAAGUUGUAUCAAUCGCAGUGGUCCAGAUGAUGGCAAGGUGAAAUUAGUAAAAUUUCUUAUGUUAAGACAACUACAAGAAUAGAAUUUAUUCAUACAUCUAAAAAUGACGAUGGGAUGCUGGUUUUGAUAGAAAAAAGAGUAAAACAAAUAUUAAAUUAUUUUCUAAAAAUUGAAAAUAUAAUGAUGAGAUGCUGCUUCGAUAGAAGAAUGAGUAAAAAGAAUGAAAAGACAGCUUUUAGAAUAAGAAAUGAAAAAUGAGCAAAAAGAAUCAAAUGUUAGGUUUUAGAAAGAGAAGCAACUUUUGAAUAUUGAUAACUUUGAUCUUUGGGUGCGUUUGGCACACUGUAUUGUAUUAUAUUGUAUUAUAUUAUUUUAAUAUUGGUGUAUUAUAUUAUACUGUAUUGCAUUAGUACUGUAUUAUAAUAACGUUGUACAAUGUUUGGUGAUAUACUAUACUGUAUUAAUUUUUUUUGUGAUUAAUUUAAAUUAUAUAUUUUAAAAAAUAAUAUUUAUUAAUACUUAAAAAAAUAAAUAUGUGGUCUUAAAUUUUAAAAUUUUAAUAAAUUUUUUAGUGUAAAUAUUAAAUUUUAUUGAGAAAUGAUGACAACUAUUAUUUUUUUAAAAAAAAUUUUCUAAACUCAAAUUUAGAAAUGAAUAAGGGUUGUACAACAAUUGUCUUUUUAUAAACAAAAUUCUUAAAAAAUAAAAAUAAUUACCAAUACUAAUUCCCAUAGCACAAUAAAAUAAAAAUUUUGUGAAGGCAUUCAAUCUCAUCUCAAACAAAUCCCAUCUAUCAUUGUCGUCUUUAACCAAUCUACAAAAUCAAACCUCCUGAAUCAAACAUAGAAAGGAGCUAAGGGAGGUAGCGGCAGCUAUUAUUGGUUAUAUGAAGAUGACGAAGAAAUGGAGGAGAAGAUGACAAACAAGAAACUGAGAAGAGGAAGAAUCAGACAAGACAAAAAAGAAGAGGGGAAAAGGAAAAAAUAAUAAUAAAAUAAAAAUGAGAGAGGGAAACAGAUAUGACGAAGAAGAAGAGGGGAAAAGGGAAAAAAAUAAAAGAAAAAAAGAGAGAGAGUGAGUGAGAAUUAGAGAAGACGAAAAAGAAGAGGAGAAAAGGAAAAAAAAAAGAGAGAAAAACAGAGAAGAUGAAGAAGAAGAGGGGGAAAGGAAAAAAAUAAAACAAAAAAAGAGAGAGAGUAAUAGGGAAGACGAAGAAGAAGAGGGGAAAGGGAAAAAAAAAGAAAAAAGAAAGAGAGAGAAAUAGAGGAGACGAAGAAGAAGAAGCUAAUGCAAUAAAAACCAGAGUCUCACUCGGUUUCCGUUAUGCGGGGUUUCCCGCAUUAAUUUUUUUCUUAAUGCAAUACCGGAGAAGUGCCAAACAUCGUAUUGUUAUAUUUUAAUGCAAUGCAGAGUGCUAAUACAAUGUAAUGCGGCAUGCUAAACAUGGCCUUUAAGUUUUAUAAAAUUUGAUAGUUUG
rnacentral:lncRNA from 1 species